GACGAACGCUGGCGGCGUGCUUAACACAUGCAAGUCGAACGAAGUGGCGAACGGGUGAGUAACGCGUAAUCAACCUGCCCUUCAGAGGGGGACAACAGUUGGAAACGACUGCUAAUACCGCAUACUGAAGGAGGGGAUUGCGUCUGAUUAGCGAGUUGGAGGGGUAAAGGCCCACCAAGGCGAUGAUCAGUAGCCGGGCUGAUAGUAUGAACGGCGACAGUGGGACUGAGACACGGCCCAGACUCCGACGGGAGGCAGCAGUGGGGAAUCUUCCGCAAGGGACGAAGGUCUGACGGAGCAACGCCGCGUGAGUGAUGACGGCCUUCGGGUUGUAAAGCUCUGUUAAUCGGGACGCGGUACCGGAAUAGAAAGCCACGGCGAACGACGUGCCAGCAGCCGCGGUAAUUC
rnacentral:rRNA from 1 species